UACGUAGGGUGCAAGCAUUAAUCGGAAUUACUGGGCGUAAAGCGCGUGUAGGCGGCCAUCUAAGUCGGGCGUGAAAUCCCACGGCUCAACCGUGGAAGUGCACUCGAAACUGGAUGGCUAGAGUCCUGGAGAGGAAGGUGGAAUGCUUGGUGUAGAGGUGAAAUUCGUAGAUAUCAAGCGGAACACCGGUGGCGAAGGCGGCCUUCUGGACAGUGACUGACGCUGAGACGCGAAAGCGUGGGGAGCAAACAGG
rnacentral:rRNA from 1 species